GUGGGGAAUAUUCCGCAAUGGGCGCAAGCCUGACGGAGCAACGCCGCGUGAAUGAAGACGGUCUUCGGAUUGUAAAGUUCUGUCAUGAGGGACGAAGGACUCAUGUAAAUAAUAUGAGGAAUGACGGUACCUAAGGAGGAAGCUCCGGCUAACUACGUGCCAGCAGCCGCGGUAAUACGUAGGGAGCAAGCGUUGUCCGGAAUUACUGGGCGUAAAGGGCGCGUAGGCGGAUAAUUAAGUCAGAUGUGAAAUCUCCAGGCUUAACUUGGAGCGUGCAUUGGAAACUGGUUAUCUUGAGGGCAGGAGAGGAAAGUGGAAUUCCUAGUGUAGCGGUGAAAUGCGUAGAUAUUAGGAGGAACACCAGUGGCGAAGGCGACUUACUGGGCCGUAACUGACGCUGAUGCGCGAAAGCGUGGGGAGCGAACAGGAUUAGAAACCCCAGUAGUCC
rnacentral:rRNA from 1 species